rnacentral:misc_RNA from 1 species
UCCGGCUUAUCACCGGCAGUUUCCUUAGAGUUCCCAGCAUUACCUGUUGGCAACUAAGGACGAGGGUUGCGCUCGUUGCGGGACUUAACCCAACAUCUCACGACACGAGCUGACGACAGCCGUGCAGCACCUGUGUUCCAGCCAGCCAAACUGAAGAGCUCCGUCUCUGGAGCCCAUACUGGACAUGUCAAGGCCUGGUAAGGUUCUUCGCGUUGCCUCGAAUUAAACCACAUGCUCCACCGCUUGUGCGGGUCCCCGUCAAUUCCUUUGAGUUUUAAUCUUGCGACCGUACUCCCCAGGCGGGGUGCUUAAUGCGUUUGCUGCGCCACUGAACCUGAAAGGCCCAACAGCUAGCACCCAUCGUUUACAGCGUGGACUAC